rnacentral:ncRNA from 2 species
CGUAAGGGGCUCGCUAUUGGUACGGGUCAAGGGAACGCCGGUGUAAUGCCGCGGCUGCCCCCGCAACUGUAACCGGCGAGGCACGCCCCGAUGUGCCACUGUCCCGCGAGAGGGAUGGGAAGGCGGGGUGAGGCCGCAUGAUCCGGGAGCCAGGAGACCUGCCCGCACCAGUCGUUCAGC